GACGAACGCUGGCGGCGUGCCUAAUACAUGCAAGUAGGACGCAGUUGCGAACGGGUGAGUAACGCGUAGGUAACUACCUAUUAGAGGGGGAUAACUAUUGGAAAAGAUAGCUAAUACCGCAUACUAGUAGAUGGACCUUCUUUUUAUUAGCUAGUAGGUAGGGUAAUGGCCUACCUAGGCAAACAUACAUAGCCGACCGUAGAGGGUGAUCGGCCACACGGGGACUGAGACACGUCCCAGACGACUACGGGAGGCAGCAGUAGGGAAUCUUCGGGAAUGGGGGGAACCCUGAUCGGUAAACGCCGCGUGAGUGAAGAAGGUUUUCGGAUCGUAAAGCUCUGUUGUUAAGGAAGCGGUACUUAACCAGAAAGGGACGGCUAACUACGUGCCAGCAGCCGCGGUAAUUC
rnacentral:rRNA from 1 species